CCGUCUGCAGCUAGAGAUAGGCGUUCCCUUCGGGGACAGAAUGACAGGUGGUGCAUGGUUGUCGUCAGCUCGUGUCGUGAGAUGUUGGGUUAAGUCCCGCAACGAGCGCAACCCUUAUUACUAGUUGCCAGCAUUCAGUUGGGCACUCUAGUGAGACUGCCGGUGACAAACCGGAGGAAGGUGGGGACGACGUCAAAUCAUCAUGCCCCUUAUGACCUGGGCUACACACGUGCUACAAUGGAUGGUACAACGAGUUGCGAAACCGCGAGGUUUAGCUAAUCUCUUAAAACCAUUCUCAGUUCGGACUGUAGGCUGCAACUCGCCUACACGAAGUCGGAAUCGCUAGUAAUCGCGGAUCAGCAUGCCGCGGUGAAUACGUUCCCGGGUUGGAC
rnacentral:rRNA from 1 species